UACGAAGGGUGCUAGCGUUGUUCGGAAUUACUGGGCGUAAAGCGCGCGUAGGCGGCGGCACAAGUCAGGGGUGAAAUCCCACAGCUCAACUGUGGAAUUGCCUUUGAAACUAGGUCGCUAGAGUGUCGGAGGGGAUAGCGGAAUUGCUAAUGUAGAGGUGAAAUUCGUAGAUAUUAGCAGGAACACCGGUGGCGAAGGCGGCUAUCUGGACGACAACUGACGCUGAGGCGCGAAAGCGUGGGGAGCGAACAGG
rnacentral:rRNA from 1 species